AUCUGGGAGGCCACAAACCAUGGAAGCUGUACGCAUGGCGUAGUGGACUAGCGGUUAGAGGAGACCCCUCCCUUGCAAAUCGCAGCAACAAUGGGGGCCCAAGGUGAGAUGAAGCUGUAGUCUCACUGGAAGGACUAGAGGUUAGAGGAGACCCCCCCGAAACAAAAAACAGCAUAUUGACGCUGGGAAAGACC
rnacentral:lncRNA from 1 species